rnacentral:rRNA from 1 species
UACGUAGGGUGCGAGCGUUAAUCGGAAUUACUGGGCGUAAAGCGUGCGCAGGCGGCUUUGCAAGACAGAUGUGAAAUCCCCGGGCUCAACCUGGGAACUGCAUUUGUGACUGCAAGGCUAGAGUACGGCAGAGGGGGAUGGAAUUCCGCGUGUAGCAGUGAAAUGCGUAGAUAUGCGGAGGAACACCAAUGGCGAAGGCAAUCCCCUGGGCCUGUACUGACGCUCAGGCACGAAAGCGUGGGGAGCAAACAGG